rnacentral:lncRNA from 1 species
UGCGAUCGAGAGAAGGGUCAGGGAACUCUUUCCCUCUCAUAAACCCUAAGUCACUAAAAUUCCAUCAAUUAAAGGUGAAAUUAGCAAGGAAUCGAAUGCAUGAGCUAGGAAUUUUGAUGAUAUGCGUCGUAUUAGCAAGGGAUCAAGCAUGGAAAGCUAACGGGUCAAGAGGAGACAAGGAAGUGAAUGCGAAAACGGACGCUCAAGGUAAGUGAUUCCGUAAUCACUUCUUAGUUUGUUUAAGUAAUGUAGCGUUUUAAUUAAUUAAACAUGAUGUUUAAUGUCAAAUAUGGAUUUAGUUGAAUGAAAUUGGUGAUUUUUUCUAAGUAGACCAAACGGGUCAAAAUGAGGUCUUAUGAUUAUAUCGAAAAGUUGUAUAAGAAAUGGCUACGGUAGUAUAAACGGUUAAUGGGUAAAAUUGCACAUAAGUACGCAAUCCGGGAAUCGGAGAUGUGGUUUAAUAGUCAAAAGACUCAGAUGUGAGUUGGUUUAAUAGAUAUAUAUUUGCGCAAGUGGAGGUUUUAGUAGCAAGUUUGAUACGUAGGUUUAAAUGGAGUGAAUGAAUUUAAUGAAUACCGGGUAUCGGUUGCGUAAACCCCAAGUACGAAACUCUAGAUAAUAUAAGAGUAUUAUGGAUAUAAUGUUCAUGUAUGUUUUGGGUUAAAACAAAGGAGUGGUUUGAUGAAAACAUAAACGGGUCAAAUAAUUAGAAAAUGAUUAUUAAG